rnacentral:rRNA from 1 species
GACGAACGCUGGCGGCGUGCUUAACACAUGCAAGUCGAACGGAAAGGCCCUGCUUGCAGGGUGCUCGAGUGGCGAACGGGUGAGUAACACGUGGGUGAUCUGCCCCUUACUUUGGGAUAAGCCUGGGAAACUGGGUCUAGUACUGGAUAGGACCAUGCUGUAGGUGGUGUGGUGGAAAGAUUAGUCUCGGUAAGGGAUGAGCUCGCGGCCUAUCAGCUUGUUGGUGGGGUAAUGGCCUACCAAGGCGUCGACGGGUAGCCGGCCUGAGAGGGUGGACGGCCACAUUGGGACUGAGAUACGGCCCAGACUCCUACGGGAGGCAGCAGUGGGGAAUAUUGCACAAUGGGCGCAAGCCUGAUGCAGCGACGCCGCGUGGGGGAUGACGGCCUUCGGGUUGUAAACUCCUUUCAGCCAUGACGAAGCCCUUGUGGUGACGGUAGUGGUAGAAGAAGCACCGGCUAACUACGUG